AGGGUGAACGCUGGCGGCAGGCCUAACACAUGCAAGUCGAACGGCAGCACAGGGGAGCUUGCUCCCUGGGUGGCGAGUGGCGGACGGGUGAGGAAAACGUCGGAAUCUGCCUAUUUGUGGGGGAUAACGUAGGGAAACUUACGCUAAUACCGCAUACGACCUACGGGUGAAAGCGGAGGACCUUCGGGCUUCGCGCAGAUAGAUGAGCCGACGUCGGAUUAGCUAGUUGGCGGGUAAAGGCCCACCAAGGCGACGAUCCGUAGCUGGUCUGAGAGGAUGAUCAGCCACACUGGAACUGAGACACGGUCCAGACUCCUACGGGAGCAGCAGUGGGAAUAUUGGACAUGGCGCAAGCCUGA
rnacentral:rRNA from 1 species